AAGAUGCCUGUGCCGGGGGCUGUCCGCUCCCUUUCGUCUUCCACCCGCUGGAACCUUCUGGCAAGAAGGGGAGAAGAAUGACAAGAGCAAAUUUGCAACACUGAUUUUGAAAGUCCAAGUUACUUCUUACCUGCCUUAAUCCUUGCUGGAGAAAACAACUGAGCCCUGAGAAGUGAUGCUGCGUUGCAUGAACUGUAUUUCUCCUGGAAAUGCUUUAAGAUCUUCAAGGAGGCCAGACCACAGCACAACAGAAAUCUGGAGGAUAAUUUCCAUUUCCAUUCAAGCAUUGUUAUCCUGGGAAGCACAUAAGAGGCUUAAGCUUCAUGCCUUGAUGCAACGAGGCAGGACGGGUUGGGAGCCGGCAGAAGACAUAACACCGUGUCAUUUCUGUGUCUAGAAGGAAAGGAUAUUUGCACUCCCAGGUGGACUGUUAAAGCUGAACUCUC